GGCAUCCCUGCCGCCUACCCCGCGCCCCACGGGAGGCUGCUGCGGGUGCCGCGGACCCUCCGGCCUACGGGCCGGCGGCUGAAGCCCGUGAGCGGCAGCUCUGUCACUGCCGCAUUCUCCCUGGUGGGGCUCGGAGCCGUGUUUCUCCUCCACUGCCCCGUGGGCCUCUCUUCCUGAGGGGACCUGGAAGGGCAGGUGAGCGGACAAACUUCUCUUCACGGGCCUCUCCUGCACGGGCGUCCCGAGGGCCCCUCGCGCGCAGCUGCCACCUCUGCCGGCCUGAUGCCAUGGCCUACCCAGGCCUCUGCCCCAGGAGCCCUGGGGUGCAGGUCCCCACGCCGUUCUCAGGCCUUGCUGGUCAGUCACAGCCGUGCAAGGGAAAGCUGAAGGGCGCCCAAGUGGGCCGCCCCCGCAUUCCUCCCCGUCCUCGACACAGGCCGCCCGACCCUGAUGAUGGAAGGCACUACCCGUGCCCACGUGGUGAGCGCUCUUCCUCCUGCGGUUCCUGGAUACAGAGCCCAGAAUGCCCGGCUUGGAGCCAUAGGUUAUGAUUCAGGACUCUUACUGUGUCCCCUGGCAAGAACGUGGCUGUUUUGAGGGCCGGGUCUGCUGAACCUGCAGACCCCAAUCCUGAGGAAGCAGGAAGCCUCUGGCUGCGUCAUUGAGACUGACGGUCCCCAGAGUGACAUCCUUAAGUCAGGUGAGUGGCUGAAGAGAAGAGAAAACGGUCCGUCUGGUACUCCAGGGCCUCCACUCUUGCACUGUCCACCAUUCACCCCCACAGACCAAGGAACCAUGAGACCAAGAAACCACUAAGAUGGAAUCCCUCCUAUUGACGCCCAAGAGUGAAUCCUGGAAGUUUUUCUUCCUUGAGAUGUAGACCCAGGAGAACAAGACCUAAGAUAAGCAAUUCCAUUUCUCACCUUCUUCUCAGCCCACUUUCAAAUUCCAAUUCCAUGCUUAAAGAAUUACUCUCUCCUUGACACUGCACAUUUCAAAGGACAGGGAGCUCCCCAGAAGGGAAUGGCCUUCCCUGUUAGGUCUUAGGAUAACCAUCCCUCCAAGAAGUUAUCUAGUAGUCAUUUUGACCCAAAGCUUCCUAAGAUAAAACCAGCUACCCUAUAAUUCUUAGAUGGUGGCUGGUGUGCCAUCUUGAGGCACACAUAGUGACUGCUACCAUGAGAUGGGCCACACCUCUCAAAAAUGGAACCCUGUCUUGCCAGUGGGUUUCAGCCCUGGGCAAGUUCACAAUUGAUUCAAUGUGAACAAAGAAAUGACAGAACAUUCUUGGGGUGAAAGGGUUUAUACCCAACUUUAUUUCCAGGUG